GUGAUUCCAAAGAUGGAAAACCACUGAAAGAUUGUGUUUUCAUCUAGAAUGUGUCAAUUUUUAUGGGCUAUGGACCCAAGCCAGAGGUGAUAUUUAUAGAGUAUAAAUUCAACACUGAGAGACAGAGUUGACACUGCAGAAGAAUUUGUUCUACCAGGCUUACUUUGAUUAUAACCACCUGAUGAACAGAUGACUCAUGGUCAUCUGAUCACGGAGCAUAAAACAUACCUUAUGACUUAGGUCACAGACUCUCAGCUCAGAAAUCAACUCGUGAAUAUUGAUGCUUGCAGAAAAUAGCCCGAGCAACUCACAGGUUAUAGUAAGUUUCUGCAAUACAAUCAAACACAUGAAUGCAAACUAACAAUUUUGUAGAAAUUGGGAUCUGUUUGUAGAAAAGGGCCUUAUUAUAUUUAAAACCCCCUUCUGGAUUCGCUUUUUGGUGGUUCUCCAUUUUGAGUUUCCUCAGGAGCGGAUUGUUCUGUCAACUUGUAUUUACAUUUCAACAUUACACAGCUGGGUGAUUUUGUGAUUGGGUCACCUCUUCAAAAAGUAGUGGACUGAAACAACCAGUUCAUUUCAGACAGAUCAUUAAUCAAUCUUUAGAUGCUAACUGGUUUUGGUCACUAUUGACCUUAACUGGAUUUAAACCUGGUGACCUAGAGGUGCAAGCCUCCCAGCAUUACACAGACAACAAGCUUCUAAUGGGUCUGUUUUAGGGCUUAAUUUUUUAUAAAGCAUCAACAGACUUCAGAAGGGCACAAAUGUACAAGCUUUGCUGGCUGCCUUGUUUCUUUAUGACAACAACCAUAAGGCAUAAGGAGAAGAUAUUUUUCAACUUUCAUUCAAAAUACGUUUUAAAAUAUCUAAACUAAGAUCUUAAUGAUUUCUCCUAUACGAUACUGGGUGGAUUUUUGCAUAUUUAGUGGAGGCCUAUGGUAGUACUUUGUAUGGUGAUCAAUCAUAGCCUCUUUGGUAGACUAUCCCUGAGCUGCAACCCUAACAACCUAGUCCCAUGUUUAGAUCUAAGACAGGUGUUGGCCACUUGGGACGUUCUAACUAUUAUUUUCUUUGGGCCUCCAGUUCCAGUGUUAAAGUCUGACUCCUGUACACUGAUCUGAGAUUGAGGUCCAAAGAAUUCAGAGGAACAUGUACAAUUCUCUGUGAAUUGCUUGCAUUGUAUGUUUUUAUCACAGUCUUUUGAAAUAACAGUUCAGUGCCUGUUUUCUGUUUAGGACCUUGGUAUCAUUUAGCUCCAUACUGGGUUUUUGGUGAGUUUUCUUGUUGCCAACUGGUUGUUUCUCACAAAGAACUCUCCAGACACAAUAGGCUUCAAGUGGGAAUUUUUAGCAAGGUCUUGAUUUUAAUGUAGUGUGUUUGCUGCAAGUUGAUCAUGUAUCAGAACUUUUGUCAUUUUAAAUGAUGUUUGACUAAUAAAGACAGAUUUAGACAGUGUGCCACCUCCCUGAGGAGCUCCUAUCAAUUACUUAAUGAGAUGGUAAAUUAAAAAUAUUCACAUAGCAAAAAAAUGGAAAAUGUAACAAUUAAUAGGUUUUACCAUUAAUAUUGUAAUGAAUGUUUCUUUCUGGGAGUAAACACAUCAUCAGUCAGCAGAAGCCAAGGGUUUUUUUCAGUCUAAUUAUCUUACUUUUAAUUAUUAUACUUCAUUCUUCUAGUUUAUUAUUAUGAAGGGCAUUCAACUGAUGGUCUAUAGGUAGGGUUAUUACUCUUGCUCCGAUUCUCAUUUAUUGUAUUCUUGAUGUAGAUAGCCUGUCAGAUCACAAAUAAUACUGGAGAAAAUUGUCAUUUAUGCUUGACUGCUUCUUUACUAAAAUAUUUUAUGAGGGCUGCCUGCUUUAUAUCAUCACAUUCUAUUACCUAUCUGUACUUAAGAA